UGAAACAGCUCCACUGGACCUGAAUAGACAGCUGACUAGGGAUAGAAACUAAUAACACAGCUGUCACACCUAUACAAAAGAAAAUUUCAAGUCUAAUAGACAUGUAUACUUUUUAUAAAACAGUCAUUGGAAAACUUAUUUGCCCCUACUGUGUGUUUCGUGAACACUGUUAUUUAAAUAGCAUGUUUUGUUUAAAGAUAUUUCAAAAAGAAAAUUUACUUUGUCUUUAUUGUUACAAGAGUUGUUACAAAUGUAUGUGGUACAUUUAUUUCUCUCUGCAAGCAUAAUUUACUAUUUUUGUGGUUUUUCUCUCAGCUGAGCUGAAGGCUCUUGUGAGAGUUUCUGAUCAAAGUUUUUCUUGUAUCUGUUUUUGUUACUGAUAGGACAAUUUUGCUGAACUUAGGCACCAUUACAGCACCUUUCUUACCCUCAAGCUCAUUACAUGCAUAAUGAUGAAGUUUUACCGUACUUGUCAUGCUGAAUUCUAUAUCACUUUAUCAAUCAGAGCUUCCAUUUUAUUUUUAUUUUUAAUUCUAUUUUAGUACACAAAAUUCAGUACGAAUCUAAAUUAUGACCCAUAACUGAUUGCUUGGGUUAUUUGAGCUUUGUUCAGGUGGGAUAAAUGUGGUCCAUGAGCCCUUUGUUAAAAUUUUAAAUUAUAUUUGUGAUUGAAAUUCAAACCAUGUUUGAUACAAAGUAAAAGUUACAUUAGUGUAUUUGAAAAUGAAAAUACCUAUUGGUAAUAUAUGUCUGUUUUACUUUCUAUCAGUGAAAAUUUAUAGUCCUUUUCAAAUGAAUGUAUUUUAUCAAUGGGAAAACGUUUACUUUUUAUGCCCAAUUUUGAAGUGCUUAUACAUUUUCAUGUAUCAGCUAAAGUUAUGAAAUAAAUUUGCUAUCAAUUAAGCCAUG
rnacentral:misc_RNA from 1 species